rnacentral:rRNA from 1 species
CAAUAGCGUAUAUUAAAGUUGUUGCGGUUAAAAAGCUCGUAGUUGGAUUUCUGCCGAGGACGACCGGUCCGCCUCUGGGUGAGUAUCUGGCUUGGCCUGGGCAUCUUCUUGGAGAACGUAGCUGCACUUGACUGUGUGGUGCGGUAUCCAAAGACUUUUACUUUGAGGAAAUUAGAAUGUUUCAAGCAGGCAUGCGCCUUGAAUACAUUAGCAUGGAAUAAUAAGAUAGGACCUCGGUUCUAUUUUGUUGGUUUCUAGAGGUGAGGUAAUGAUUAAUAGGGGAUAGUUGGGGCGAUUCGUAUUUAACUGUCAGAGGUGAAAUUCUUGGAUUUGUUAAAGACGGACUAUCGCGAAAGCAUUUGCCAAGGAUGUUUUCAUUGAUCAAGAACGAAAGUUAGGGGAUCGAAGAUGAUUAGAUACC